UCGGGAAUUUUGGGCAAUGGGCGAAAGCCUGACCCAGCAACGCCGCGUGAAGGAUGAAGUAUUUCGGUAUGUAAACUUCGAAAGAAUAGGAAGAAUAAAUGACGGUACUAUUUAUAAGGUCCGGCUAACUACGUGCCAGCAGCCGCGGUAAUACGUAGGGACCAAGCGUUGUUCGGAUUUACUGGGCGUAAAGCGUGCGCAGGCGGUUAUAUAAGACAGAUGUGAAAUCCCCGGGCUUAACCUGGGAACUGCGUUUGUGACUGUAUAACUCGAGUGUGGCAGAGGGGGGUGGAAUUCCACGUGUAGCAGUGAAAUGCGUAGAGAUGUGGAGGAACACCGAUGGCGAAGGCAGCCCCCUGGGUCAACACUGACGCUCAUGCACGAAAGCGUGGGGAGCAAACAGGAUUAGAUACCCAAGUAGUCCCUGAGCGGGCUGGCAAGGCG
rnacentral:rRNA from 1 species